ensembl:lncRNA
AAAGAGACACGUCCAUUGUUUAACUGCAUCAUCUACACAAACCAUUGUGCUUGGACCCCUUAUGAUCACCUGGACUUAAACCACAUUGUUUCAGUUACCUUCUGUGUCUUUGGCCACAACGCUUCAGUGACAGGAAUGUGAAAUAGCAAACAGGGGAACAAAUAAAAGGCAUGACUUUAUUUGCAUCCAGCUAGCCAACUCUAUUACAGGUGUUCCACAGCCAAGACUCUUAUUAGAAUAGAAAAUAGCAAGGGUUCGAAUAAAUAGUUUAUUAAUCAUUUAAUUUCACUUUCUUAAUGAAUAUUGUUCUGUGUAUGUGAUUUCAAAGUCUUGAUGCUUCGGAUUAACCCGUUAAUUGCCGUAUCCCUUAAAACCUGAGUGCCAGAGGAUUACUGUAAAUGCAUGUGCCCGCUGGGCACAGUUUACCUGAUGCCACCGGGGUGGCGUUUGCGCUGAUGGCUUGAGCCCGCCAUCGCUGCUUGCAGCUAUAUUUACUUAUUAUUAUUAUUAUUUUUAUUUUUUUUUUAACCUUCCGGGGGUUUUUGGAGCCUUAACAUACUCAAAAACUCUUGAAAAUUGGCACACACAUUGGAACCUGCGGCCAUCAGGACGCCGCAGAGUCUGGGACCCGGGCGUGGCACAGGGGCUCUACAGCGCCCCCUGGAACACAGUCAGAAAUCUUGAACCAUAGCUCACACAUACUUGCAUGUAUUUAUAUGAAACUCAGUAAACUUAUAGAUCUCAUUGAGCCGAACAACUUUCGCGCUCUAUGUCAUAGGCUCCGCCCAACAGGAAGUGAGCUAUUCAGGGCUGUUUAAAAAGCAUGCUCUGGAAUUUGAUAUACUCCUCUGAGGUCUUUCAACCCGUUUCUCCUCGAAACUCAGUGAACAUGAUCUCAAGACAUUGGGGAUGCAAAAAUUGCCAGGGGAUUUUUUUGAUAUCCCGAACGGUUUGUCCGUGGCGAGGCGUUGAAAUUAGGGCAAAAAAAUGAGAAACAGGAAAUGUCUAAUAACAUCCACAUACAUCUUUCUGAUUUUAGAUCAAACUUCAUCGGAUUGUUCGAUGUAUGAUGCCGAUCGCAUAGAUGUGACUAUUAGGAGUCAAAGUUAUAGCGCCACCAACUGGCAGCAGGAAGUGUCUAAUAACAUCCACAUACAUUUCCUGAUUUUAAUUAAACUUCAUCAAUUUGUUCGUUGUAUGAUGCCGAUCGCAUAUAUGUGACUAUUAGGAGUCAAAGUUAUAGCGCCACCAACUGGCAGCAGGAAGUGUGUCAUUUUCAAAAUGCUUUGAAUUCAGCAUCUUAUUUUUACUCAAUUUGCUUCAAACUUCAUCAGAAUAAUGACAAAAACACGGCCCAUGUAAAACUGUUGAGGGGAUAUUGAUAUCUAAUAUAGUGUUGCCAUGGCAACAUAUCAAACUGGAAUAUUUUUCUGUAUAAUAUAUUCUGAUUUUGAGGCAGAUAACAUGCUUAGAAUUUCAUGAAACUCAGAACACAUAGCCCCUAAUAAGAAGAAAUAUAGCUGCAAGCAGCGAUGGCGGGCUCAAGCCAUCAGUUCAAACGCCACCCCGGUGGCAUCAGGUAAACUGUGCCCAGCGGGCACAUGCAUUUACAGUAACCCUCUGGCACUCAGGUUUUAAGGGAUAUGGCAAUUAACAGGUUAAUCCGAAGCAUCAAGACUUUGAAAUCACAUACACAGAACAAUAUUCAUUAAGAAAGUGAAAUUAAAUGAUUAAUAAACUAUUUAUUCGAACCCUUGCUAUUUUCUAUUCUAAUGAAAGUCUUGGCUGUGGAACAUCUGUAAUAGAGUAGUUGGAUGCAAAUAAAGUCAUGCCUUUUAUUUUUUCCCCUGUUUGCUAUUUCACAUUCCUGUCACUGAAGCGCUGUGGCCUAAGACACAGAAGGUAACUGAAACAAUGUGGUUUAAGUCAAGGUGAUUAUCAGGGGUCCAAGCACAUUGGUUUUUGUAGAUGAUGCAGUUACACAAUGAACGUGUCUCUUUUCAAGUAAAUUAUGAGUCCUUAUGUGAGUACUAUUAUAUGCACAACAUGAAAAUAGAUAACUAAUAUAGUGUCCCUUCUACACUUUUUCAGUAAUGUGUGAUAACUUGAGAAAUAUGUUGUCAAUACAAUUAAAAUAACAAAAAGUAAUGGUAUUUAGGAGAUGAUAGCUUUUGCAUAAUUACUAUAUUGGGCUUUAUUAAAGUUUAUGAAAAAAGAAUGAAUGUUUAUGCAUUUUUUUAUUUAUGCACAUAAAUGAAACAUUUUCAAGUCUUUGAACAGAUCUUGAAGUAUUUGCUAUCCUGUGGCGCCAUCGAGUGGACAACAUUAGCAUUGUGGCCUUCAUUUUUGAACAACAUUAUGAAAGGGGCCAAUAUUUUUUGAAUGAUUAUAAAUAUUUAAUGAUUAGUUUACUGAUAAUAUACCCACAUUAAAAUCUAAUUUACUGAUUCUGUAUCUUAUUUCAUGCUUAAUCAUGAGUUUAAUUUUCAAUUUACAUUUUU